CCGUGCAAUUCGGUAUAAUCUGAAUUGUGUAGAUUAUUUUUUAUAUUUGUAUUAUAUUUAUUUAUAAAAAUCAAUUUAUUUGUUUUUGUAUAUGUUUUAGAUUAAAUUUGUUAUAUUAUGUUAUAUUUAUACUGUAAAGGUGCUUUAUUAUGAUUUUUGUAAGUAUAUUUUGUUUAUAGUACCUUGUGUAUCAGGGUAUAUUGAAUUAUAUUAUAUAUUUUUAUUUCCCGAUUUUAAAGGAUUUAAAUUAUUAUUUUAUUUAUUGUUUUAUAAAUAUAAAUAAUAAUAAUUUAGUAGUGAAAUGUUAUUCGACUUUAAUUGUAUCUGGUUUUCUAAGAAAUGAAUUAAAUUCAUAUAUUUUUAAUAUAUUUCUAUAUAGUUUAGUAUUUAUUUUAUUAAUAUAAAGAUUAAGGGGGAUAAGCUCUUUGAUUUAUUCUUAUAAUUUAAAAAGUGGUGUUAAAAAUUUGUUGAUUUUAUAAUAAUUAUCAUUUUAAGUUUGUUAAAAUUUUAUUUUUUAGGAUUUGUAAUUUUUUAUUAUUUAAGUUUUUUAUUGGAAUUAUUUAUAUAAUAAUUAUUUAAUUUAUAUUAAUGAUGUAAUUAGUAAAUUUUAUUUUAUAUUAUUUUAAUAUUUUAAUAUAUUUUAAAAAGGAAUUAGGCAAAUAUAUUAUUCUCGCAUGUUUAUCAAAAACAUCUCUUCUUGUAAUUUAUUUAUGAAGUAUAACCUGCCCACUGAAAUUUAUUUGAAGGGCCGCGGUAUUUUGACCUGCGAAGGUAGCAUAAUCUUUAGUCUUUUAAUUGAAGACUGGAAUGAAUGGUUGGACGAGGAAUAUACUGUUUCUUUUUAAUUUUAUUGAAUUUAAAAUUUAAGUAAAAAUACUUAAAUUUUUUUAUGGGACGAGAAGACCCUAUAGAGUUUAAUAUUUUUAAAUUAUUUAUUAGUGUUUGAUAUAGUUUAAUAUUUAAAAGUAUUUUGUUGGGGUGAUAGGAAGAAAUAAAUAAACUCUUUUUUUUAUUCAUAUAUUAAUUUAUAUUUUUUUUGAUCCAAUUUUGUUGAUUAUAAGACUAAAUUACCUUAGGGAUAACAGCGUAAUCUUUUUAGAGAGUUCAUAUCGAUAAAGGGGUUUGCGACCUCGAUGUUGGAUUAAGAUAAAAGUUGGGUGUAGCAUUUCAAUGUUUUGGGUCUGUUCGACCUUUAAAAUCUUACAUGAUCUGAGUUCAAACCGGCGUGAGCCAGGUUGGUUUCUAUCUAUAAAUAGUUUAUUAUAUCUUAGUACGAGAGGACCAGAUAUUUAAAAUAAUUUUUUAAAGUUGAUUGUUAUUAAAUUUGUGCUAUUUUGGCAGAUAAGUGCCAUGGAUUUAGAAUCUUUAUAUAUAGAUUU
rnacentral:rRNA from 1 species